rnacentral:rRNA from 1 species
UACAGAGGUGCCAAGCGUUAGGCGGAAUCACUGGGCUUAAAGCGCGUGUAGGUGGGUCGUUAAGUGUCCGCGUGAAAUCCCUCGGCUCAACCGAGGAACUGCGUCCGAUACUGGUGGGCUUGAAUCCGGGAGAGGGAUGUGGAAUUCCAGGUGUAGCGGUGAAAUGCGUAGAUAUCUGGAGGAACACCGGUGGCGAAGGCGGCAUCCUGGACCGGUAUUGACGCUGAGGCGCGAAAGCUAGGGUAGCAAACGGG